rnacentral:rRNA from 1 species
CCUACGGGUGGCUGCAGUGGGGAAUAUUGGACAAUGGGCGGAAGCCUGAUCCAGCAAUACCGCGUGUGUGAAGAAGGCCUGAGGGUUGUAAAGCACUUUCAAUAGGAAGGAAUACCUAUCCAUUAAUACUGGGUAGACUGACAUUACCUAUACAAGAAGCACCGGCUAACUCCGUGCCAGCAGCCGCGGUAAUACGGAGGGUGCAAGCGUUAGUCGGAAUUAUUCGGCGGAAAGCGUUCGUAGCAGAUGUGAAAGCCCCUGGCUUAACCUGGGAAUGGCAUUUGAUACUGACGAGCUAGAGUUGAGUAGAGGGGAGUGGAAUUUCAGGUGUAGCGGUGAAAUGCGUAGAGAUCUGAAGGAACACCAGUGGCGAAGGCGACUCCCUGGACUCAAACUGACGCUGAGGUACGAAAGCGUGGGUAGCAAACAGGAUUAGAUACCCCUGUAGUC